rnacentral:rRNA from 1 species
AUUGAACGCUGGCGGCAGGCCUAACACAUGCAAGUCGAACGGUAACAGGAAGCAGCUUGCUGCUUUGCUGACGAGUGGCGGACGGGUGAGUAAUGUCUGGGAAACUGCCUGAUGGAGGGGGAUAACUACUGGAAACGGUAGCUAAUACCGCAUAACGUCGCAAGACCAAAGAGGGGGACCUUCGGGCCUCUUGCCAUCGGAUGUGCCCAGAUGGGAUUAGCUAGUAGGUGGGGUAACGGCUCACCUAGGCGACGAUCCCUAGCUGGUCUGAGAGGAUGACCAGCCACACUGGAACUGAGACACGGUCCAGACUCCUACGGGAGGCAGCAGUGGGGAAUACUGCACAAUGGGCGCAAGCCUGAUGCAGCCAUGCCGCGUGUAUGAAGAAGGCCUUUCGGGUUGUAAAGUACUUUCAGCGGGGAGGAAGGCGAUAAGGUUAAUAACCUUGUCGAUUGACGUUACCCGCAGAAGAAGCACCGCUACAC